rnacentral:rRNA from 1 species
CUGUAACGAUAGCGUAGGUCGUACCAGGUAUCCGUAGAGUUUGAUCUUGGCUCUGGAAGAGGGGUGAGUAACACGUGGGAACGUGCCUUUAGGUUCGGAAUAGCUCCUGGAAACGGGUGGUAAUGCCGAAUGUGCCCUUCGGGGGAAAGAUUUAUCGCCUUUAGAGCGGCCCGCGUCUGAUUAGCUAGUUGGUGAGGUAACGGCUCACCAAGGCGACGAUCAGUAGCUGGUCUGAGAGGAUGACCAGCCACACUGGGACUGAGACACGGCCCAGACUCCUACGGGAGGCAGCAGUGGGGAAUCUUGCGCAAUGGGCGAAAGCCUGACGCAGCCAUGCCGCGUGAAUGAUGAAGGUCUUAGGAUUGUAAAAUUCUUUCACCGGGGACGAUAAUGACGGUACCCGGAGAAGAAGCCCCGGCUAACUUCGUGCCAGCAGCCGCGGUAAUACGAAGGGGGCUAGCGUUGCUCGGAAUUACUGGGCGUAAAGGGCGCGUAGGCGGAUCGUUAAGUCAGAGGUGAAAUCCCAGGGCUCAACCCUGGAACUGCCUUUGAUACUGGCGAUCUUGAGUAUGAGAGAGGUAUGUGGAACUCCGAGUGUAGAGGUGAAAUUCGUAGAUAUUCGGAAGAACACCAGUGGCGAAGCGACAUACUGGCUCAUUACUGACGCUGAGGCGCGAAAGCGUGGGGAGCAAACAGGAUUAGAUACCCUG